rnacentral:rRNA from 1 species
AGUGAACGCUGGCGGCAGGCCUAAUACAUGCAAGUCGAACGGCAGCACAGCAGAGCUUGCUCUGUGGGUGGCGAGUGGCGGACGGGUGAGGAAUACAUGGGAAUCUGCCCAGUCGUGGGGGAUAACGUAUGGAAACGUACGCUAAUACCGCAUGCGCCCUACGGGGGAAAGCCGGGGACCGCAAGGCCUGGCGCGAUUGGAUGAGCCCAUGUUCGAUUAGCUAGUUGGCGGGGUAAAGGCCCACCAAGGCGACGAUCGAUAGCUGGUCUGAGAGGAUGAUCAGCCACACUGGAACUGAGACACGGUCCAGACUCCUACGGGAGGCAGCAGUAGGGAAUAUUGGACAAUGGGGGCGAACCCUGAUCCAGCCAUGCCGCGUGAGUGAAGAAGGCCCUCGGGUUGUAAAGCUCUUUUGUCCGGAAAGAAAGCAAUCGGUUAAUACCCGGUUGUUCUGACGGUACCGG